rnacentral:rRNA from 1 species
UGGGGAAUAUUGCACAAUGGGCGAAAGCCUGAUGCAGCGACGCCGCGUGAGGGAUGACGGCCUUCGGGUUGUAAACCUCUUUCAGUAGGGACGAAGCGCAAGUGACGGUACCUGCAGAAGAAGCACCGGCUAACUACGUGCCAGCAGCCGCGGUAAUACGUAGGGUGCGAGCGUUGUCCGUAAUUACUGGGCGUAAAGAGCUCGUAGGCGGUUUGUCACGUCGUCUGUGAAAUCCUAGGGCUUAACCCUGGACGUGCAGGCGAUACGGGCUGACUUGAGUACUACAGGGGAGACUGGAAUUUCUGGUGUAGCGGUGGAAUGCACAGAUAUCAGGAAGAACACCGAUGGCGAAGGCAGGUCUCUGGGGAGUAACUGACGCUGAGGAGCGAAAGCAUGGGUAGCGAACAGG